rnacentral:lncRNA from 1 species
UGUCCCAUAGCUCCUUUCCUAUCAAGCUAUGGACGUGAUCAUCACCUAUCAAGCACCCAGGAAGAUCUCAAGGAAUCUAUAAUGUCCCCUAAAACUGUCUAGGUUCAGGAAAGUACAAGUUUUUCACUUGGAGCCAAAAUCCCACAAAAGGUUCCACGGCUAGUUUUCGAUUUCUUGCUUUAUUUUUGAUUUGUUUCCUUUCUUAUCUUUUUAUAACGUUAGGACCUUUGUAUCUGAGCAUUAUAUAUAGUCGACAUUUUUACAAACCACCCCUCAAUCAUAUAAGAGUUUAUAGAAGUUAUUCAUUUUUUAUCAAAGAGUGUUCUUUUCAUAAAAUAUCGGUCUUUACAAUUCAAAGAGAGAUUCUUUGUUGUUCUAUUGAUUUCGUGAGCCUAGCUUGUUUGUUCAAAUCAAAAAAUCUCAGUACACAGAUGUAGAGAUUCAA